UGGGGAAUAUUGCGCAAUGGGGGCAACCCUGACGCAGCCAUGCCGCGUGUGUGAAGAAGGCCUUCGGGUUGUAAAGCACUUUCAGUGGGGAGGAAAGGGCGCUGGCUAAUAUCCAGUGCAGUUGACGCUACCCACAGAAGAAGCACCGGCUAAUUCCGUGCCAGCAGCCGCGGUAAUACGGAAGGUGCGAGCGUUAAUCGGAAUUACUGGGCGUAAAGCGCGCGUAGGCGGCUUGGUAAGUCGGGUGUGAAAGCCCCGGGCUCAACCUGGGAACUGCAUUCGAUACUGCUGGGCUAGAGUACGAGAGAGGGGGGUGGAAUUCCAGGUGUAGCGGUGAAAUGCGUAGAGAUCUGGAGGAACACCGGUGGCGAAGGCGGCCCCCUGGUUCGAUACUGACGCUGAGGUGCGAAAGCGUGGGGAGCAAACA
rnacentral:rRNA from 1 species